GAGAUGGGUUGCGGGACCAUGGGUUCAUUUACCUAAGGGGAAAUGUUAGUAGAUACCUGGAUUCACUAAGGCUCUGUCUUCAGGGAUGACAUCAUCGGCUCACGCCAGUCUUCCAGGACCACCUUCUGGAUGCCAAGGCUGCUGCUCGAGUACCUGCUGUGCACCUCUACCUCCUGAGCCAAGGAGCAUGGAUUCCAGGAACCCACUACCAUACAGAGCAACUCCUUGUGGACUCCCCCUGGGAUCAGGACAGCGAGGGACAAGCGACAAAGAGGAUCAUCAGUGGCCAGCUAGUCUCUCUGGGGUUCAAACCUUGAACCAGUGCCCUAGUGAGGGGGCACUGGCCAUGGCCCUUGACCUUUGCUCUGCUUGUGUCUUGAGUCUGAGUCCUUUCCUGUACAUCUGUGCUUGUGUUCAUCUGCUAGUGAACUGGAGUGCUGCCCUCCCCGAGGAGGGUC
rnacentral:lncRNA from 1 species